CGGGUGCACUGAUCCGGCCGGGCCUUUCCCUCUGUGGAACCCCAUGGCCUUCACUGGCUGUGCGGGGGAAACAGGACUUUUACUGUGAAAAAAUUAGAGUGCUCCAGGCAGGCCUAUGCUCGAAUACAUUAGCAUGGAAUAAUAGAAUAGGACGCGUGGUUCUAUUUUGUUGGUUUCUAGGACCGCCGUAAUGAUUAAUAGGGACAGUCGGGGGCAUCAGUAUUCAAUUGUCAGAGGUGAAAUUCUUGGAUCUAUUGAAGACUAACUACUGCGAAAGCAUUUGCCAAGGAUGUUUUCAUUGAUAAGGAACGAAAGUUAGGGGAUCGAAGACGAUCAGAUACCGUCGUAGUCUUAACUAUAAACUAUGCCGACUAGGGAUCGGACGAUGUUAUUUCUUGACGCGUUCGGCACCUUUCGAGAAAUCAAAGUGCUUGGGCUCCAGGGGGAGUAUGGUCGCAAGGCUGAAACUUAAAGAAAUUGACGGAAGGGUACCACCAGGGGUGGAACCUGCGGCUUAAUUUGACUCAACACGGGGAAACUCACCAGGUCCAGACACAGUGAGGAUUGACAGAUUGAGAGCUCUUUCUUGAUUCUGUGGGUGGUGGUGCAUGGCCGUUCUUAGUUGGUGGAGUGAUUUGUCUGCUUAAUUGCGAUAACGAACGAGACCUUAACCUGCUAAAUAGCCCGUACUGCUCUGGCAGUUCGCCGGCUUCUUAGAGGGACUAUCGG
rnacentral:rRNA from 1 species